CAGUAGCCGCGGUAAUACAGAGGGUGCGAGCGUUAAUCGGAUUUACUGGGCGUAAAGCGUGCGUAGGCGGCUUUUUAAGUCGGAUGUGAAAUCCCUGAGCUUAACUUAGGAAUUGCAUUCGAUACUGGGAAGCUAGAGUAUGGGAGAGGAUGGUAGAAUUCCAGGUGUAGCGGUGAAAUGCGUAGAGAUCUGGAGGAAUACCGAUGGCGAAGGCAGCCAUCUGGCCUAAUACUGACUCUGAGGUACGAAAGCAUGGGGAGCAAACAGGAUUAGAUACCCGCGUAGUCCCUGUCUCUUAUAA
rnacentral:rRNA from 1 species